rnacentral:rRNA from 1 species
GAUGAACGCUAGCUACAGGCUUAACACAUGCAAGUCGAGGGGCAGCAUUUUAGUUUGCUUGCAAACUAAAGAUGGCGACCGGCGCACGGGUGAGUAACACGUAUCCAACCUGCCGAUAACUCGGGGAUAGCCUUUCGAAAGAAAGAUUAAUAUCCGAUGGUAUAUUAAAACCGCAUGGUUUUACUAUUAAAGAAUUUCGGUUAUCGAUGGGGAUGCGUUCCAUUAGUUUGUUGGCGGGGUAACGGCCCACCAAGACUACGAUGGAUAGGGGUUCUGAGGGGAAGGUCCCCCACAUUGGAACUGAGACACGGUCCAAACUCCUACGGGAGGCAGCAGUGAGGAAUAUUGGUCAAUGGACGAGAGUCUGAACCAGCCAAGUAGCGUGAAGGAUGACUGCCCUAUGGGUUGUAAACUUCUUUUAUAUGGGAAUAAAGUAUUCCACGUGUGGGAUUUUGUAUGUACCAUAUGAAUAAGGAUCGGCUAACUCCGUGCCAGCAGCCGCGGUAAUACGGAGGAUCCGAGCGUUAUCCGGAUUUAUUGGGUUUAAAGGGAGCGUAGGUGGAUUGUUAAGUCAGUUGUGAAAGUUUGCGGCUCAACCGUAAAAUUGCAGUUGAAACUGGCAGUCUUGAGUACAGUAGAGGUGGGCGGAAUUCGUGGUGUAGCGGUGAAAUGCUUAGAUAUCACGAAGAACUCCGAUUGCGAAGGCAGCUCACUAGACUGCAACUGACACUGAUGCUCGAAAGUGUGGGUAUCAAACAGGAUUAGAUACCCUGGUAGUCCACGCAGUAAACGAUGAAUACUCGCUGUUUGCGAUAUACAGUAAGCGGCCAAGCGAAAGCAUUAAGUAUUCCACCUGGGGAGUACGCCGGCAACGGUGAAACUCAAAGGAAUUGACGGGGGCCCGCACAAGCGGAGGAACAUGUGGUUUAAUUCGAUGAUACGCGAGGAACCUUACCCGGGCUUAAAUUGCAUUUGAAUAAUCUGGAAACAGGUUAGCCGCAAGGCAAAUGUGAAGGUGCUGCAUGGUUGUCGUCAGCUCGUGCCGUGAGGUGUCGGCUUAAGUGCCAUAACGAGCGCAACCCUUAUCUUUGGUUACUAACAGGUCAUGCUGAGGACUCUAGAGAGACUGCCGUCGUAAGAUGUGAGGAAGGUGGGGAUGACGUCAAAUCAGCACGGCCCUUACGUCCGGGGCUACACACGUGUUACAAUGGGGGGUACAGAAGGCAGCUACCUGGCGACAGGAUGCUAAUCCCAAAAACCUCUCUCAGUUCGGAUCGAAGUCUGCAACCCGACUUCGUGAAGCUGGAUUCGCUAGUAAUCGCGCAUCAGCCACGGCGCGGUGAAUACGUUCCCGGGCCU